CCAUUAGUUAGUAACUGUGAUUGGACCAAAGAGUUAAUCAAGGUGAUAAGACCAUUAGUCAGUAACUGUGAUUGGACCAAAGAGUUAAUCAAGGUGAUAAGACCAUUAGUCAGUAACUGUGAUUGGACCAAAGAGUUCAUCAAGGUGAUAAGACCAUUAGUCAGUAACUGUGAUUGGACCAAAGAGUUAAUCAAGGUGAUAAGACCAUUAGUUAGUAACUGUGAUUGGACCAAAGAGUUCAUCAAGGUGAUAAGACCAUUAGUUAGUAACUGUGAUUGGACCAAAGAGUUAAUCAAGGUGAUAAGACCAUUAGUCAGUAACUGUGAUUGG
ensembl:lncRNA